rnacentral:lncRNA from 1 species
AUGAAGUGCAGCCAAGCACUGAUAUUAAAUGAGGGCUCUCUUCUUGAAGUGUUCAUUAAUGGGGCCCUUGUGUGUAGAUUUCCUCCAGAAAAAGAAAUCUUGAAGAAAACCUACCUCAACCAUUUAAUUUUACAUACAAAGAGAUCUUACUGUUCAGAGAAGGUCUUUAUCUGCUUCUUCUCCCUUUUCCAGUCUCCAUCAAUUGCCAUGCCUGCCGUCAGGAUGGGGAUGGGAGUGAGGAAUACAGCUCAUAUACCCUGAAUGUAUAAAACCAUCCAUCCUACACUCCAAGCCCUUCAUGUAGGAAAAGUAUCCAGCUGUAUCUUUAUGCUUAGAUAAAAGCCAUUCCCUGGCCAUUUUGCUAUCUAGAAUUCUUGUCCAUCUUGGAUAUUAGAACAUGGGUCCCUAUGCCUGCCUAUUCUGACUUAGAAUUCUUUUGUGUCUUACAGUUUGGCUUGAUAUACUUCAUUCAGAUCAUAACUUCUUGCCUAGGUUUCAUAGUAGUCUUCCAAUUCCUUUUUAUUCAAAGGGGUUGUCUGGCUAUGACUGAUAGCUAUUCAGUUUGAUGUUCUUUCCUAGUUUAUUUGCUCCUUGGAUAUUCUAGAUUUACCUCUCAGGAUCAGGCUCAAACUGAAGGGAAAAGCAAGGAAUGAGAGAGUUUUUGCCCAUUUGUAAAGAAUGUAAACUAUUUGAGGGUAGGUUCUGUUCUCACUUUCCUUUUUUUCAUCAGCAUUUAAUCUAGUUCCUGGCACCCAGUAAGUAUUUAAUUAAUAUUUGUAGCCUUGAAUUGUAAAUGGUGAGAGAGAUUUGCUUUUCUAAAAGAAGAAUAAAGAACCAUCUCCUUCUACCA